GAAAUGCGAUAAGUAAUGUGAAUUGCAGAAUUCAGUGAAUCAUCGAAUCUUUGAACGCACCUUGCGCUCCUUGGUAUUCCUUGGAGCACGCCUGUUUGAGUAUCAUGAAAUCUUCAAAGUAAAUCUUUUGUUAACUCAAUUGGUUUCUACUUUGGUAUUGGAGGUCUUUGCAGCUUCACACCUGCUCCUCUUUGUUCAUUAGCUGGAUCUCAGUGUUAUGCUUGGUUCCACUCGGCGUGAUAAGUUAUCUAUCGCUGAGGACACUGUAAAAGGUGGCCAAGGUAAAUGCAGAUGAACCGCUUCUAAUAGUCCAUUGACUUGGACAAUACUUUUAUGAUCUGAUCUCAAAUCAGGUAGGACUACCCGCUGAACUUAAGC
rnacentral:misc_RNA from 1 species